UCACAAGACAAGACACACAACUAGCAAUACAAUGCCAAGCAUUGUAAACAUCUCAUCAAGCAAUACAAGUCUUUUCCUCUUAUCUUGUAUGAGUUUAAGUGAAUACACAUUCCGGUUUUCGAAUCUAGCAGCGGAUUUGAGUGUAAGGCUGACUCAAGCAUGUCCUCGUCAUCAUAAUAUUCAUAAUGACUCCAAUAUUGAGCUGCAUUAUGAUUCAUUUUACUACAAAUUUGACAAAUAAUCACAUCAUUUUCAUCUUGCUGCUAAGUUGGUCCUUUAGUUUGGUUGUUGUUGUUCACUAGAGGCUAAAAAGACUGUUGAAAAUUUUGCUUGUUAUGGUUAUCUAUAUCUGCCACCAUUGUUAGGAUAUAGUCCAUGUCCACAAGAUUUUCCAUAGCUACCACCACGUUGGUGCCUACCACCUCUCCCCCAUUAUCUAAAGAGUGCUUCAUUAUGAUUGACUAUAGCCAACUUGUCUUCUUAUCUUUAAGAUAUAACGAUUUGUUCAUGGUUUAGUAAAGCCAACCCAAACUUUUUCAUUGUUGGAUAAGAAGGUUUUUUCAACAUGGUUGUCUUAAAAACAACAUAUUUUGGACCAAGAGAAUGAGCAAGUUGAAAAACUUGAUCUCCAUUGGCAAUGAGUUUUCCAAUGGUAGAGAGUUAAUGAUAAAUACCUUUGAAUUUUAUGAUAAUGUCUUCAAGUUUGAGAGACCCAAAACUAUCUUUCAACUAGGAUUCUUGUUCCUUGGUUAUAGGCAACAUUUGUUGGUCCUUUAAUAGUAAGCUAGCCUUCAGCCGCAGUUGAUCCUCCUGUCACCAUACUCAGGACGUCAUCAGACAUCAUAACUCUAAGUCAACUCAUAAGUAAUCCAUCAUUAUUUUUCCAUUGCAAAUUUUCAAGAUUGGAAACUUUUUUCCAUCUUUAGAGUUGGUUCUAAAAGGAAUAGAGAUAUCAUCAAUGUGAUGCUCUAAGCCGAGACUCUUUGUAAGCAGGAGUAGUUGUGAUUUCCAUUAGAGAUAAUUAGUGUUGGUUAACUUGAUGGAAAUAAGGCUAGAGCAUUGAUGAAAAGACUGAAUUGAGAGUUUAGGAUCUUGUUUUGAGGAUGAAGAUAUGGCUUUAAUAUUGUGAAGAAAAAGUAAAUAGACGGAUUAAUUGAGAUAUACUAUUCAAACAGGAUUAUACAUUAUAUACAAGUCAUACCAUGCUUUAAAG
rnacentral:lncRNA from 1 species